GUUUGUAAUAUUUCAUUUUGACCAUAGAUGGUACAUGAAAUGAAUGAAAACAAAAUACCUAAGUUAGUAAUCGGGAGUAUAAAAAUAUGUUAAAAGAAACUAAUAUGUCGAAAGUGAAUAGAAACAUGAAAUUUGUGGUGGCCAACAUUUGGGGAGACGAUAAGGCAUAAUAGGAAAAGGACAAUAAGAUACGUCUUCGGUUUUAAUUGUGUCUGAAUUUUGCUUUUAUGUAUGUUUGAGGAGGAUUAAACAUCAAAGACGUCGCACGAUAUCACGAAAUACGUUGACACACGAUGGAGAUGUGGUGGAUGGAAAUCGUUCAAAGGAAAUACAAGUAGUGUUUGUCUUUUGCAUAUCGGAAAACUCAGUUUUCAGUAUGCGUUCACUUAGACACUAGAAUUGCAUUUAAAUUUGGAUUAUACAAUUUUAAUUCUACACCCACGUAAAGUUUGUAUCUGAAUGUUUGUA